UACGUAGGGGGCAAGCGUUAUCCGGAUUCACUGGGUGUAAAGGGAGCGUAGACGGCGACGCAAGUCUGGAGUGAAAGCCCGGGGCCCAACCCCGGGACUGCUCUGGAAACUGCGGCGCUGGAGUACGGGAGGGGCAGGCGGAAUUCCUGGUGUAGCGGUGAAAUGCGUAGAUAUCAGGGGGAACACCGGCGGCGAAGGCGGCCUGCUGGACCGUGACUGACGUUGAGGCUCGAGAGCGUGGGGAGCAAACAGG
rnacentral:rRNA from 1 species